CCUCUGGGGACACAGAGCAAAUCCGAGAACAGCAGAUGAUGAAUCUAGCACGGGGCAGUAAAGAUGAGGAAACAGAGGCAUAUAGAGAUUGAAGAGCUUAUGUGAGCUCACCAGGCUGGUCAGUGACAGAGUUGGGAUUCCAAUCUGUGUCUCUCUGAUCCUAAACCAGCUACCCUGAGACAGAUGGGAAGAAAGGGGAAAUGGGAAGACCUUCAAAACCCCUACUGCCCAGUUCUCUUCAGAGCAGAAUAAAGACUAGCAUAGAGAAGAAGGCUGCCACACAGAUAAAGCAACCGAGACUCAGAGCGGUGAGGUGACUUUCCCAGGGCCUCAGAACCAGUGAACAGCAGGGCCAGGAUCAAAACCCAGCCCUGCCUGAUCCUGAAGCCCGAGAUUCCUGCCACUGCCCCACUUAAGAGAAGGAGUCUCAGAGAAAGAACACAGAUGGAGGCUGCUCUCUUCUGCCCCCUGUAACCACAGCACAGCUUGUCCCAGGGGGUGGGGGACAAGAGUUCCUUUUCCCAAAGCACAGCAGGCACAACCCUACGAUAUUAGGAGGUGGGCAGAAGUCCAGUCUAGAGGCCCCCGCUCAGUGGGAGCCUCUGACACCUACUCACCAUUGCCAGAGGUAGAAUAUUCCAGACAUCUCCAACUCUGAGCCCAGGGGCCCCUGAUUCGGCCAGGCCUUGCUUUCCACUGUUCCUGUCCACUCUCUCCAGCCACGUUUGUCUCCCCAAUACUCACCUCUGUAAGCACCCUGUUUAUAGCUGCAUUCCUUUGAUCGCCGCAUCCUUUUUCCUCCUAUACUUUUA
rnacentral:lncRNA from 1 species